rnacentral:rRNA from 1 species
AUUGAACGCUGGCGGCAUGCCUUACACAUGCAAGUCGAACGGCAGCACGGGGCAACCUGGUGGCGAGUGGCGAACGGGUGAGUAAUGCAUCGGAACGUGCCAUUGAGUGGGGGAUAACGUAGCGAAAGUUGCGCUAAUACCGCAUAUUCUGUGAGCAGGAAAGCAGGGGACCGCAAGGCCUUGCGCUCUUUGAGCGGCCGAUGUCAGAUUAGCUAGUUGGUGAGGUAACGGGCUUACCAAGGCGACGAUCUGUAGCGGGUCUGAGAGGAUGAUCCGCCACACUGGAACUGAGACACGGUCCAGACUCCUACGGGAGGCAGCAGUGGGGAAUUUUUGACAAUGGGCGCAAGCCUGAUCCAGCCAUGCCGCGUGAGUAAAGAAGGCCUCGGGUU